UGAGGAAUAUUGGUCAAUGGGCGAGAGCCUGAACCAGCCAAGUAGCGUGCAGGAUGACGGCCCUAUGGGUUGUAAACUGCUUUUGUGUGGGGAUAAAGUGCGUGACGUGUCAUGCAUUGCAGGUACCACAUGAAUAAGGACCGGCUAAUUCCGUGCCAGCAGCCGCGGUAAUACGGAAGGUCCGGGCGUUAUCCGGAUUUAUUGGGUUUAAAGGGAGCGUAGGCUGUCUAUUAAGCGUGUUGUGAAAUAUACCGGCUCAACCGGUGGCUUGCAGCGCGAACUGGUCGACUUGAGUAUGCAGGAAGUAGGCGGAAUUCAUGGUGUAGCGAUGAAAUGCUUAGAUAUCAUGACGAACUCCGAUUGCGCAGGCAGCUUACUGUAGCAUAACUGACGCUGAUGCUCGAAAGUGCGGGUAUCAAACAGG
rnacentral:rRNA from 1 species